rnacentral:rRNA from 1 species
AUGAACGCUGGCGGCGUGCCUAAUACAUGCAAGUCGAGCGAACGGACGAGAAGCUUGCUUCUCUGAUGUUAGCGGCGGACGGGUGAGUAACACGUGGAUAACCUACCUAUAAGACUGGGAUAACUUCGGGAAACCGGAGCUAAUACCGGAUAAUAUUUUGAACCGCAUGGUUCAAAAGUGAAAGACGGUCUUGCUGUCACUUAUAGAUGGAUCCGCGCUGCAUUAGCUAGUUGGUAAGGUAACGGCUUACCAAGGCAACGAUGCAUAGCCGACCUGAGAGGGUGAUCGGCCACACUGGAACUGAGACACGGUCCAGACUCCUACGGGAGGCAGCAGUAGGGAAUCUUCCGCAAUGGGCGAAAGCCUGACGGAGCAACGCCGCGUGAGUGAUGAAGGUCUUCGGAUCGUAAAACUCUGCUAUUAGGGAAGAACAUAUGUGUAAGUAACUGUGCACAUCUUGACGGUACCUAAUCAGAAAGCCACGGCUAACUACGUG